UACAGAGGUCUCAAGCGUUGUUCGGAUUCAUUGGGCGUAAAGGGUGCGUAGGUGGCGCCGUAAGUCAGGUGUGAAAUUUCGGAGCUUAACUCCGAGACUGCAUUUGAUACUGCGGUGCUUGAGGACUGGAGAGGAGACUGGAAUUUACGGUGUAGCAGUGAAAUGCGUAGAGAUCGUAAGGAAGACCAGUGGCGAAGGCGGGUCUCUGGACAGUUCCUGACACUGAGGCACGAAGGCCAGGGGAGCAAACGGG
rnacentral:rRNA from 1 species